AUACAGAGGGUGCGAGCGUCAAUCGGAAUUACUGGGCGUAAAGCGCGCGUAGGCGGCUUAUUAAGUCAGAUGUGAAAUCCCCGGGCUCAACCUGGGAACUGCAUCUGAUACUGGUAAGCUAGAGUUUUGGAGAGGGAGGUAGAAUUUCAGGUGUAGCGGUGAAAUGCAUAGAGAUCUGAAGGAAUACCAGUGGCGAAGGCGACUUCCUGGCCAAAAACUGACGCUGAGGUGCGAAAGCGUGGGUAGCAAACGGGAUUAGAAACCCCAGUAGUCC
rnacentral:rRNA from 1 species